UACGGAGGGUGCGAGCGUUGUCCGGAAUCAUUGGGCGUAAAGGGCGCGUAGGUGGCCACUUCAAGCGUGCGGUGAAAGUCGGGGGCUCAACCCCUGAUCGGCCGUGCGAACUGGGGGGCUGGAGCACUGUAGAGGCGAGGCGGAAUUCCGGGUGUAGCGGUGGAAUGCGUAGAUAGUCGGGAGGAACACCGGUGGCGAAGGCGGCCUGCUGGACAGCACCUGACACUGAGACGCGAAAGCGUGGGUAGCAAACAGG
rnacentral:rRNA from 1 species